rnacentral:rRNA from 1 species
AGUGAACGCUGGCGGUAGGCCUAACACAUGCAAGUCGAACGGCAGCACAGUAAGAGCUUGCUCUUACGGGUGGCGAGUGGCGGACGGGUGAGGAAUACAUCGGAAUCUACUUUUUCGUGGGGGAUAACGUAGGGAAACUUACGCUAAUACCGCAUACGACCUACGGGUGAAAGCAGGGGAUCUUCGGACCUUGCGCGAUUGAAUGAGCCGAUGUCGGAUUAGCUAGUUGGCGGGGUAAAGGCCCACCAAGGCGACGAUCCGUAGCUGGUCUGAGAGGAUGAUCAGCCACACUGGAAAUGAGACACGGUCCAGACUCCGAAGGGAGGCAGCAGUGGGGAAUAUUGGACAAUGGGCGCAAGCCUGAUCCAGCCAUACCGCGUGGGUGAAGAAGGCCUGCGGGUUGUAAAGCCCUUUUGUUGGGAAAGAAAAGCAGCAGGUUAAUACCCCGCUGUUCUGACGGUACCCAAAGAAUAAGCACCGGCGAACUUCGU